UGAAAAACCUAAGUACUGAAUCAUUAUUAGAAGAUAUAAAGACAAAGACUCAUACGGACUUCGACUACACUAACAAAGCUUUGAGAAGCAAGAAGAAGCUUGGUUAGUGUUUUGGAUUCUAAUAUGACUUGAUGCCAUGUGUAUGACUCAAUAUAAAAACAAGAACCGCAACAGAUCUUAAAAGCAUAAGUA
rnacentral:sRNA from 1 species